UACGGAGGGUGCAAGCGUUAUCCGGAUUCACUGGGUUUAAAGGGUGCGUAGGUGGGUUGGUAAGUCAGUGGUGAAAUCCCCGAGCUUAACUUGGGAACUGCCAUUGAUACUAUCAAUCUUGAAUACUGUGGAGGUCAGCGGAAUAUGUCAUGUAGCGGUGAAAUGCUUAGAUAUGACAUAGAACACCAAUUGCGAAGGCAGCUGGCUACGCAAAUAUUGACACUGAGGCACGAAAGCGUGGGGAUCAAACAGG
rnacentral:rRNA from 1 species